rnacentral:rRNA from 1 species
UAGGGAAUCUUCGGCAAUGGACGAAAGUCUGACCGAGCAACGCCGCGUGAGUGAAGAAGGUUUUCGGAUCGUAAAACUCUGUUGUUAGAGAAGAACAAGGACGUUAGUAACUGAACGUCCCCUGACGGUAUCUAACCAGAAAGCCACGGCUAACUACGUGCCAGCAGCCGCGGUAAUACGUAGGUGGCAAGCGUUGUCCGGAUUUAUUGGGCGUAAAGCGAGCGCAGGCGGUUUCUUAAGUCUGAUGUGAAAGCCCCCGGCUCAACCGGGGAGGGUCAUUGGAAACUGGGUGACUUGAGUGCAGAAGAGGAGGGUGGAAUUCCAUGUGUAGCGGUGAAAUGCGUAGAUAUAUGGAGGAACACCAGUGGCGAAGGCGGCUCUCUGGUCUGUAACUGACGCUGAGGCUCGAAAGCGUGGGGAGCAAACAGG